GAUGAACGCUGGCGGCGUGCCUAAUACAUGCAAGUCGAGCGAACAGACGAGGAGCUUGCUCCUCUGACGUUAGCGGCGGACGGGUGAGUAACACGUGGAUAACCUACCUAUAAGACUGGGAUAACUUCGGGAAACCGGAGCUAAUACCGGAUAAUAUAUUGAACCGCAUGGUUCAAUAGUGAAAGACGGUUUUGCUGUCACUUAUAGAUGGAUCCGCGCCGCAUUAGCUAGUUGGUAAGGUAACGGCUUACCAAGGCAACGAUGCGUAGCCGACCUGAGAGGGUGAUCGGCCACACUGGAACUGAGACACGGUCCAGACUCCUACGGGAGGCAGCAGUAGGGAAUCUUCCGCAAUGGGCGAAAGCUUGACGGAGCAACGCCGCGUGAGUGAUGAAGGUCUUCGGGUCGUAAAACUCUGUUAUUAGGGAAGAACAAAUGUGUAAGUAACUAUGCGCGUCUUGACGGUACCUAAUCAGAAAGCCACGGCUAACUACGUG
rnacentral:rRNA from 1 species